rnacentral:rRNA from 1 species
CCUACGGGAGGCAGCAGUGGGGAAUAUUGCACAAUGGGGGAAACCCUGAUGCAGCGACGCCGCGUGAGUGAAGAAGUAUUUCGGUAUGUAAAGCUCUAUCAGCAGGGAAGAAGCACGACGGUACCUGACUAAGACGCCCCGGCUAACUACGUGCCAGCAGCCGCGGUCAUACGUAGGGGGCAAGCGUUAUCCGGAUUUACUGGGUGUAAAGGGAGCGUAGACGGUAUGGCAAGUCUGAAGUGAAAGCCCAGGGCUUAACCCUGGGACUGCUUUGGAAACUGUUAGACUAGAGUGCUGGAGAGGUAAGUGGAAUUCCUAGUGUAGCGGUGAAAUGCGUAGAUAGUAGGAGGAACACCAGUGGCGAAGGCGGCUUACUGGACAGUAACUGACGUUGAGGCUCGAAAGCGUGGGGAGCAAACAGGAUUAGAUACCCCUGUAGUC